ensembl:lncRNA
AGUAAGUGCUCAGAGUUAGCCCUUAUGGUUAUUUGAGGCUGUCUCUUAGGUUUCCUCAAACUUCUGGGAAUCCUGGAAUGUGGACUGCACUCGGUGAGGAACGAGAGGAAGGUCGGUUGGGUGGUGUGGGUUUCCUCCACACGUAUCCAUUUUCUCUUUCUCUCCAGUAGAGGAAGAGCAGGGACCCUAAGGGUCAGUGAGAGGGAGAUGCAGGUGCUGGCUUCAUGGGAUGACCUUGGCAGGCACACUGGCACCAUUUUGAUAGACUAGAUGACAUUGUACUACCCUGUCAGCUAGGCUCAUUCCUACCUUGAAUUCUUGGGCAGAGCUGCUUUCAUUUUUCUCUUCCCCUCCUAAUAAUCCCUGCCAUAUACUUGUCUCUUACGGAGGUUAAGACUUUCCAGGGCUCUGCUCUAUUUCUCUCUCUACCUGGGAAGGGCUUCAGGGAGGGAUCACUUCCCCAUUUACAACUUGGAUUCACUUCCUCAUUCACCAAACAUGUAUUGAACACCCUUGCUAGUCCCAAUUCUAGGCACCGAUGAUGUAAUAAUAAGAGAAUUGGUUCUACCCUCGUAGAACUGCUGGUCAAGUGGGCAGGGGAGACAGACAGUAAACAAAGGCAGAAACCUCAGAGAAGGAUGCUCUCGACUCUGCUUCGAUCUGAUGCUUUAUUCUGAGUCAUGGUAGAAAUUCAGUGAAGGAGGGAUUAGUGUUUUUUUUUUUUUCCCUGUGAGGACCAGAUAAGCAGAACAAAGGUGCAAUUGGAUGACACCUGCUCCAAGCAAGAAGUAAGGUUUUUGAGCUUCACCUCCAAUGAGAACAUUUCCUGAGUUCCUUGAAAGGCUGGAGAGCUAUCCUAAGCUAGUGGCUCUCCUCAUGGUCCCUGGAAAACUGCUAUCCCUCUGGACAUCACACUUGAGUUCCAGUAAGGAAGAAGAACACAGGGCUAUGCAUGAAAAGUCACACUAGGUGAAAUGUAAAGUGAACUGUUGGAAGCUACUUUUGAGUGAGUGAAGCUAUGCGGCAUUUUCCCCACUUCUCUGACCUGGAUGUAGCAAAAGUUUGCAGAUGACAUUCUAUUGGUCAAUGGGUUUUCACAAGAUUCAGACAAUCUGCCAAGGAAGCUGUGAGUUAUAUUCAGAGUGGUUCACAGAACACAUAUAGUUUUGUACCUUCAGACACCAGGAGAUUCUAUUGGACAAGGUCUCCUUGGACUGCAAGGAGAUCAAACUAGUCAGUCCUAAAGGAAAUUAUCCUGAAUAUUCAUUGGAAAGACUGAUGCUGAAACUGAAGCUCCAAUACUUGGGCCAGGUGAUGAGAAGAGCUGACUCAUUGCAAAAGACCCUGAUGCUGGGAAUGGAGGCAGGGGAAGGGACGACAGAAGACAAGAUGGUUGGAUGGCAUCACCAACUCAAUGGAUAUGAGUUUGAACAAGCUCCGGUAGGUGGUGACGAACAGGGAAGCCUGGCGUGCUACAGUCCACAGGGUCAAAAACAGCUGGACAUGACUGAGCGGCUGAACAACAACAACUACUGAACAACCCUUGUCCAAAGCAUAAAGCACUGCGAAUAAAGGAAACUGCUGAUGAUGGUGCAGAGCUAAUCAGUAGAGGGAAGAUUUGCUGAGCAGUGAAUAGGAUUUAAGUCCUGGAAUUGCUCCGCUUCACCCAUCCUUACAUGGCAUUGUC